UCGAAAUUUGGCAGGACGAAUGUCUUGAGCAUCAAAACAUGGAAAAAAAAACACACAUGUAAUAUUGGGACAAGCAAUGAUAUACAGAGAAGAGCAUCACAAAAAUUUAUUGCAUCAUUAAUCAAGGAUAAAUUAAGCAACACUGAGCAAUACAAGGCUAAAGAAAUCAUGAAUGAUUUGUCUCGAGAUUAUGGGCUAGAAAUACCCUGAUGCAAAGCUUGGUGAGGGAAAUAAAUAGCCAUAAAAAACAUACAUGGUUCACAAGAGGAUGCAAACAACCAGUUACCCGCAUAUGUAAACCGAGUGGAUAGAGACGAAUCCUGGUAGUUAUGCGACAGGACAAGUAUGUGAAGAUAGCAGAUUUCGUCGAAUGUUUUUAAGCUUUUAUGGCUCAAUACAUGGCUUCAAAAGUGGGUACCGCACACGAUAUUUCUCGAUGGGACAUCAUUGAAUGCAUAAUACCUUGGAACUUUACUGACUGCGAACUCACUUGAUGGAGAAGAACAAAUGUUUCUUGUUGCAUUCGCUAUUGUGGAUGCCGAAAGUACCGACAAUUGGUUGUGGUUUAUGAAAUCUCUAAAGAUUGCUACUGGGACAGAUCGUGAAAUCAAUUUUUUGUCUGAUAGACACCCUAGCCUAGUUGAUAUUGUUUGUCAAGUUAUUGAGAAUGCCUAUCAUGCCUUCUGAGAGCGUCAAUUAGCGGAGAAUUUCAAGAAAGAAGUAAAAGACGUACCUAAUGAUAUUAAGAAGGCAGUUGUACAAUACUUUGUCGGAGCAUGUAGAGCAUACAUGCUACAAGAGUAUUUUGACAAUAUGAGUGAAAUUAGGCCUAUUUAUGAGGUCGCAUUCAAGUGGUUCAUGGAAGCAUCGCUAGAUCGUUGGGUCACAUCACUCUUCAGGGGUAAACGACAUAAUCAAGUAACAACCAAUGUGGUUGAGUCAUAUAACAAGUGGAUUCUACAAGCACGUGACAUGCCAAUUCUCCAGUGUGUUGACUUGAUUAGAAGACAAAUCAUGAAACUAAUGGCCACCCGCAACUUGGAAGUUGAAUCCUAGACCACAACACUUACCCUGCACGCGCAAAAGGAAUUGAUAAAGAUCAUAAAGCAAUCCCUUUCCGUUAGGGUCACUAUGUCAAGUGGAGCAAUGUUUGAAGCAAGGGGUCAUCGCAUAAAUUAUAAGGUAAACAUAAUUGCACGAGAAUGUGAAUGCCGGGGUUGGUAAAUUACGGGCUUGUCCUGCAAACAUGCUUGUAAAGCCCUUCAAUGGAUGAAUAGGGAUCCGAUCGACUAUUGUGAAGACUAUUUCAUGGUUGCAAAGUUUUGUGAAACAUAUUCCGAACCUAUCGUGUGAGUUACCUUGAUCGAUCUAUCUGGGCGUACGUGUGCACAAGUUCCUAUAGAUGGAAUAAGAGUACUUCCACCUCACUCAAGACGGCCCCCUGGCCGACCUAAAAGGAAGCGCAUCGAGUCACAUGAAAUACCAGUUCAACCUAUUCACUGCAGUAGGUGUAAAAGAACUGGUCACAACAAGACAACAUGUAAAGCACCCACUUGAAGGCAUUUUCUUAGUUAUCUUAUUUGUUCAGUUUUUUUAAAUUGUAGCACCCACUUCACUAUAUUGGGUAUGCCAUUUUGUAUUGGAUAUGCCAUUUUGUAGACACAUAUAUUGGAUAUGUCAUUUUUCUCUAUCUUUUUUAGUUAUCUUCUUUGUUCAGUUUUUUAUCAUUUUUCUUUUUGGAUUGGAUAUACCACUGUUCUAUCUCUUUUCUUAUUAGAUUGGAUAUGUCGAUGUUCUAUCUCUUUUCUUAUUGGAUAUGCUACUCGUGGUUAACUUGUUAUGCCAAUUAUGAUAAUAUAAUUAGCAAUGUAAGACCCGGAACAACUAAGAGGCAUAGGGGAACCAUCCACGUCAUCAGGUCAAAGGCAUGAGGUACGAAAGGUCUAUUUUUUUUACUAAAUGAUUGACAUUAAUUAGGUAUUUCUCAGGUGAUUGACUAUUGCAAUUUCUUGUUAAUUUUCAUUUUAGGAGAGCAAUAUACUUCAUAUUGAUGAAUCAACUCAAGCCCUAGCAAAAUAGAAGCUCGAUCAAUGACAUGUACCUCUAAUUCAUAAGAUCGAGUUGAGUCCAUUGAUGGAUAUCGGGGUCUCGCGUAUCGAUUGCAACCUAAUGAUGGCAUUUAUAGGGAAAUGGUGCAGGGACAUGAAUACUGCAAAUUUAAGCAUCGGUGAAUUGAGUCUAACAUUAUCUGAUGAAUGGCAGAUAUUAAGGAUACCCGUAACGGGUGAGCCCGUAACCGGCAUCAGGCCUAAAAACUAUAUUUCUUUUGUCAAGGAAUAUUUGGGAGAUUGCUCUAAAGAUGCCACCUCAAUGCGUCUAAAUCAUACAUGGUUGAGGAGUAGAUUUUGUCAACUUCCAAUAAAACCCACCAAAUUACAACUCACAUAACACACACGAGCAUAUCUCCUCUAUCUAGUUGGAACAACAAUUUUUGCUGACUUAUCUAAAGGAUCAACACUUUCAAUAUAAGUGCAUUUGUUUCGAAAUUUUGAUGAGGUAGGGAAGUAAGCAUGGGGUACUGCGGCUCUUGCUUUCUUAUAUCAUUCAUUGUCCAAGGUCGCAGAUGGGAAAAUAAUCAUUUCAGUGGGUCACCGACCUUACUACAGUGUUGGAUCUAUGAGCAUUUUCGAGCUCUAGCUACCAAGUCUGCAUUGGUCAUCAACCUAGAGAUGCCUAGGGCUUACAUUUGGAAGAAACAAGUGACUUGACAACCGUAUGAGGAGUCGCAGGAAAUUGCUGAGUACUUUAUGUGUCAUUCAUACCUCAUUAGUUUCAACAUUGCGAAGUAUUACAUGCCCGAUCACGUGUUGCGACAAUUUGGGAAGAUGCAAGGUAUUCUUGUUACGCCACCCAAGUGGGAUAGGAGGGAGAGGGUCGGUGUACACCCCACAAACUGGACUGUCGAAUUGGGUAGGCAGAUAAAAUAUUAGAAACAACAAGAACGUAACGUUGUUAAGCGCCUUUAGAUAAAUCUGGUGGAGUACCUACUGGAGAGUACAUGACCUGGUACAACAUGUUUAUGUAAGGAAAAACACCAUUUCUCCUCCCAUCGCAGUCGCAAUCCUAUGUAUAGCCUUUUGCAAGCCAAUCGCAUGUACAACCCUAUAGUUGCUACAAGCUGCACUUAAUAGUGAAGCACUAACCGGAGAAUCCAGAGAUUACGUACAGGCUGCACAUGAUCUGCUACUGAAUAACACUUCUGUGGAGAGAGGUGUCGAUGAGGGUGAUGAAAGUGAAAGAGAAGAAGACGAUGACAAUGGAGAAGAGGAUGAUGAUGGAGAAGAUGAUGAUGAUGAGGAGGAGAUGACGGAGAAGAGGAUGAUGAUGAUGGAGGAGAUGAUGGUAAUAGUGAGCAUGAAGAUGUGAGAAGAACAAAGCAAAAAGCUGAUCAAUUUCAAGCGCCGGUGUUGCAAGAGGAAUCGAGGUGGAAUUUACGAUGGGGGAAUUGAUUUUUUUUUUAUUUGGCCUUGGAUAUGUAUAAUUGAAACAAAUGUUAAGUAAAAAAAUG